UGACCAAUACCCGCAAAACACACCCACUAAUUAAAAUUAUUAACUACGCAUUUAUUGAUCUUCCUACAUCAUCUAACAUCUCUACAAAAUGAAAUUUUGGCUCACUUAUUGGUGCCUGCCUUAUUCUCCAGAUCAUCACAGAGUUAUUCCUGGCCAUACACUCUACAUCAGUUACCCUAGCCACUUUCUCGUCAGUUGCUCAUAUCAGCUGAGAUGUAAAUUAUGGCUGAAUGGUCUGCUAUUUUCAUGCUAACGGCGCCUCAAUAUUUUUCAUCUGCUUUUUCUUACACAUUGGCUGAGGCCUAUACUACGGGUCAUUCCUAUUUUUAGAAACCUGAAAUAUUGGCAUUAUACUCCUUCUUACCACUAUAGCAACAGCAUUCAUAGGCUACAUACUCCCAUGAGGCUAAAUAUCAUUCUGAGGUGCUACAGUAAUUACAAAUCUAUUAUCAGCCAUCCCAAAUAUUGGAACCGACCUUGUACAAUGAAUCUCAGGUGGAUUCUCAGUUGACAAAGCCACCUUCACACGAUUUUUCCCCUUUCAUUUCAUCUUACCCUUCAUCAUUACAGCUCUAGCAACUGUUCACCUUUUAUUUUUACAUGAAACAGAAUCUAACAACCCUUUAGGGAUUUCAUCAGACCCCAGCAAAAUCACUUUUCAUCCCCUACUACACAACCAAAGACAUUCUAGGUUUAAUUUUUCUCCUCCUCCUCCUAACAACUCUAGUACUAUUUUCACCUGAUCUCCUGAGUGACCUAGAUAAUUACACUUUAGCCAACCCCCUUAAUACCCCACCCCACAUUAAGCCAGAAUGAUAUUUUUUGUUUGCAUACGCAAUCUUACGAUCCAUCCCUAACAAAUUAGGAGGCGUAUUAGAACUCAUAUCUUCCAUUCUCAUUCUAGCAGUUAUUCCCAUACUUCACACAUCUAAACAACAAAGGGUAAUAUUUCAGCCAUUCAGUCACUGCCUAUUCUGAAUCCUAGUGGCUGACUUACUCACACUCACAUGAAUCGGAGGACAGCCAGUCGAAUACCGUUUUAUUACGAUUGGGCAGGCAGCAUCUAUUAUAUACUUCUCUCCCAUUCUCACACUUACACCACUCACUACUUAAAUUAAAAUUCCCCU
rnacentral:lncRNA from 10 species